rnacentral:lncRNA from 1 species
CUAUUCAAAUAUUAUUUUUUCAUAUAAUUUACAACAAUUAAUAAUACUUCAAUAAAAAUUUUGCCACACAGCUUUCUACGAGAAAUAACACUCUAUAACAGAAUUAGCCAAACACUCUAUAACUUUUUUUUCACAGUACAAUAUUAUUUUUGGGUUAAUUGUAUACAGAUCCCUAUAAACAUAUUAAAUAGUAAAUAUAUUCCUACAAAAUUUAACUUUUCAUUUUUAUCCUACAAAAGUCUAAUGAUAUUUAUAUUGUCCAUCUGGUUUGUUAUCAUUAGAGCACGGUUUAUUUUUCAACAGCAAAAAAGUGAAAUAACAUUUUUGCCAUUACGAAUAUAUAUCCCUCCAAAAGUUCCAACUAUUAGAAUUAUACAGAAAUAUCCUCUCCAAAAAAUUUAUCCAAUAAUAUAAGAGGGAUAAAAAUAUCAAUUUAACUCAUUCACUAACCAGGAUUAAAUAUUUCACUUAUAGUUAACUAUAUUUUUCUACAGAAUCCUAACAGUAGGAAUAUAUUUGAAAACGUCAGAACUUUUACAAGAAUAAAAAUAAAAAUAAAAAAAUUAAACUUUAUAAAAAUAUAUCUGUUAUUUAAUAUGUUUACGAACAGAGUUGUAUGCAAUUAACCUAUUAUUUUUUACCAC